AGUCGAACGGCAGCACGGAGCUUGCUCUGGUGGCGAGUGGCGAACGGGUGAGUAAUAUAUCGGAACGUACCCUGGAGUGGGGGAUAACGUAGCGAAAGUUACGCUAAUACCGCAUACGAUCUAAGGAUGAAAGUGGGGGAUCGCAAGACCUCAUGCUCCUGGAGCGGCCGAUAUCUGAUUAGCUAGUUGGUAGGGUAAAAGCCUACCAAGGCAUCGAUCAGUAGCUGGUCUGAGAGGACGACCAGCCACACUGGAACUGAGACACGGUCCAGACUCCUACGGGAGGCAGCAGUGGGGAAUUUUGGACAAUGGGCGCAAGCCUGAUCCAGCAAUGCCGCGUGAGUGAAGAAGGCCUUCGGGUUGUAAAGCUCUUUUGUCAGGGAAGAAAAGGGUCUGGCUAAUAUCUAGGCCUCAUGACGGUACCUGAAGAAUAAGCACCGGCUAACUACGUGCCAGCAGCCGCGGUAAUACGUAGGGUGCAAGCGUUAAUCGGAAUUACUGGGCGUAAAGCGUGCGCAGGCGGUUUUGUAAGACUGUCGUGAAAUCCCCGGGCUCAACCUGGGAAUGGCGAUGGUGACUGCAAGGCUAGAGUUUGGCAGAGGGGGGUAGAAUUCCACGUGUAGCAGUGAAAUGCGUAGAUAUGUGGAGGAACACCGAUGGCGAAGGCAGCCCCCUGGGUCAAAACUGACGCUCAUGCACGAAAGCGUGGGGAGCAAACAGGAUUAGAUACCCCUGGUAGUCCACGCCCUAAACGAUGUCUACUAGUUGUCGGGUCUUAAUUGACUUGGUAACGCAGCUAACGCGUGAAGUAG
rnacentral:rRNA from 1 species